rnacentral:rRNA from 1 species
GGCAUCAUGGAGGGUGAGAGUCCCGUAUGUGACUGGUGACCAACCCCAGGUGAAACCCCUUCGACGAGUCGAGUUGUUUGGGAAUGCAGCUCAAAAUGGGUGGUAAAUUUCAUCUAAAGCUAAAUACCGGCCAGAGACCGAUAGCGCACAAGUAGAGUGAUCGAAAGAUGAAAAGCACUUUGGAAAGAGAGUCAAAAAGUACGUGAAAUUGUUGAAAGGGAAGCGCUUGCAACCAGACCUGUCCGCCGGCGAUCAACCCCCGUUCUUCGGGGGUGCACUCGUCGGUGAUCAGGCCAGCAUCGGUUCGGGCGGUCGGACAAAGGCCCUGGGAAUGUAGCUCCUUUCGGGGAGUCUUAUAGCCCUCGGUGCAAUGCGGCCAGCUGGGACCGAGGACCGCGCUUCGGCUAGGAUGCUGGCGUAAUGGUUGUCAGCGACCCGUCUUGAAACACGGACCAAGGAGUCUAACAUCUAUGCAAGUGUUUGGGUGUCAAACCCAUACGCGUAAUGAAAGUGAACGGAGGUGAGAACCCUUCAGGGCGCAUCAUCGACCGAUCCAGACGUCUUCGGAUGGAUUUGAGUACGAGCAUAGCUGUUGGGACCCGAAAGAUGGUGAACUAUGCCUGAAUAGGGUGAAGCCAGAGGAAACUCUGGUGGAGGCUCGCAGCGGU